rnacentral:sRNA from 1 species
AUCAAAAAUGGACAUGUAAAACGAAUAACUGACGAAGAAAUUCAAUCUCUUGUUCUUGAAAUAAUGGGAAAUAAUAUCAGUACAGCAUUCAUCAGUUGCCCAGUUGAUCCAGAUAAAACCCUCGGAAUAAAACUUCCAUUUUUCGUGAUGGUCGUGAAAAAUAUGAAUAAAUAUUUCUCGUUUGAAGUUCAAAUUAUUGAUGAUAAGAAGAUCAAGAGAAGAUUCCGUGCGUCAAAUUAUCAAUCAGCGACAAGAGUUAAAGUUAGAAAAAUUUUCACUGAAAAAUUAUCUAAAUUUCUUUUUUUUUUCAGCCAUUUAUUUGUACAAUGCCAAUGAGAAUGGAUGAAGGAUGGAAUCAAAUUCAAUUUAAUCUCAGUGAUUUUGUGAAGCGUGCAUAUGGAACAAAUUACGUCGAGACUUUGAGAAUUCAAG